CAACGCCUACUAGUGCGUCGGCAUUAUAUUUAGAUAGUCAUUCACGCAUAUUCCCACUUGACGUAGGUCACACAUCAUCAUUGUCGUCCUUGCGCGAGGAUUUCAGUGCACUGAAUAUAGUUGAGCCGAACAUAGAAGACUCUGAGAAAUGCUGCUACCAUGUAUUGCACGCUUGUGACAAUCUUUGCGAUAAACAUAAUAACUGCAAGAUCAGCAACACAGUCUUUAUGGGAGCAUCUAUUCUCGUGAAACAAGACCACAUUCUAAACUACUUGUUGGACUGUGUGUGCGAAUCUGUUUUUAUUGCAGUUGUCCUCGUUACCACUGCCUGCCUGUCGGGACAGUUCGGUCCAGAUUGUGACAGAAACUGUUCCUGUCAUUGUGCUCUGACAGAGACAACUAAAGUAAAGCAUU